rnacentral:lncRNA from 1 species
GCAAAGUGUUAGAAUUAGCCUGCACCCUUUUUGUUUGUAUUGUAUCAUAACUAAAUGGCAUUUUCAACUCAGAAUGGAAACAGCAUUGAUAGUUAUAACAUGCUUGACAAAAUAAGUUGACCAUAUUAUGAUCUAUUAUGAUAAAAGAUGCCAAUUGACAUUGAUGAAAACAUCACUUACUAAUCUUAAUUUACCCGGGGAAUAUUAUAGCAAUCUGGGUCUUUCUUUUGAUCUGCUUUUUCUGUUUAAUAUUCUUUUUUCUACAUUUAUCUAAGUGUUUUAAAGACAUUUAACUGCACAAUUGAUAUUGAUGAUAGUAAGGUUUCUUGGGGGGAGGAGUUGUGAUAUAAAUAUAACAUGUAUAAGUUAACUGCACUUAAUUAACAUAUUUUUAUAACAUUGGCCUAUUGCUGAUAUUUUAUGCAGGCCUUAAAUUGUAGGGGUAUAAUUAUUUUAAGUAUGUGGAUGUGUUCACCAAGCCAUCCAGCCAUCCAUCUAUAAUAUAUCAGAUUUAAGAUUUGAAUUAGGGUAGUGCACAAUGGAGUUGUCAUAAUAUUAAAAAGGAAACUAGUUAGGCACGUUCA